UGUAGCUUAACUGGCAAAGCGUCUGUCUUGCAAACAGAAAGAUGUCGGUAUUCCCUAUCGGGAACACUUACGAGAACGAUUCCGAUCAGUAU
rnacentral:tRNA from 1 species